CUCCAGCACAGAAUAUUCGGUUUAAUAUUGGCAUAUAUUAAAACCUGAAUAACUAGCUUGACGUAAGAUCAUUAAAGUCUAAAUGAUUUCGUCAUUAGUUGUAAUUUUUCUUUAAAACUGAAUUAAUAGAAUAAUGUAAAAAAUGUGAUUUGCAAAACCUCCUACAUCAUAUGAUGCAAUUUUUUUUUUUUUUAAACGCAGAGACUAUUUACUUAGGGGCUUAGUUCCUAAACUGAGAAAUUGCAUAGAACUGACAAGGCAGUCAAACAUUUUUGUCCAAAUAUCCAAGUUUGGAAAAUUCUCCAAUUCUAUUUCG